UCGCUCGCUUUCCCUCCCCCCUCCCCCCCGCAGGGAGACGAGCCAGCGCGGCCGGGCGGGCGCCACAGUCUCGUGAGUGACGCCACUCAGAGCGUGCUGGUGCGUCUGCGCGGACCUGCCGGGGCCAGCCUCGUCAGCGAGAGACCUGCCCGCUCUGCCUCGACCGCCGGCGCAGUAGCCCAAACGCGAACUGCUGCCAGCAGAAUUUCCUGCGCCACCACACCGGCGCUGGGCUUAGUGAGUGCCACAGGCAGCCAAGAAUUCCCCCAGUACCUGAGAAGAGCAAUGCAGCUGAGGAUCUAGCUCAAAAGAACUAAGCAGAAGAGCGUUAAAGCAGAGACAAUUUGAGCUAAAUCGUUUCUCAUCUGUACACGAUCAGGACGACCAACUGGAAAAACACAAUACAUUCAGAUAGCGUGGAUUCCCCAGCAUUCAGAAGAGCAUUGUAUGCAGUUUGGUGAUGACCAGCUUUUCUUGCUACUCUGGCACUCUGGAGCCAACAUUCUCCAACUAGUUCACUGUAAUCCUGUC